rnacentral:rRNA from 1 species
AGUGAACGCUGGCGGUAGGCCUAACACAUGCAAGUCGAACGGCAGCACAGUAAGAGCUUGCUCUUACGGGUGGCGAGUGGCGGACGGGAGAGGAAUACAUCGGAAUCUACUUUUUCGUGGGGGUUAACGUAGGGAAAGUUACGCUAAUACCGCAUACGACCUACGGGUGAAAGCAGGGGAUCUUCGCACCUUGCGCGAUUGAAUGAGCGGAUGUCGGAUUAGCUAGUUGGCGGGUUAAAGACCCACCAAGGCGACGAUCCGUAGCUGGUGUGAGAGGAUGAUAGGCCACACUGGAACUGAGACACGGUCCAUACUCCUACGGGAGGGAGCAGUGGGGAAUAUUGGACAAUAGGGGGAAGCAUGGUACAGCCAUACCGCGUGGGUGAAGACGGCGUUCGGGUUGGAAAGCCCUUUUGUUGGGAGAGAAAAGCAGCAGGUUAAUACCACGCUGUUCUGACGGUACCCAAAGAAUAAGCACCGGCUAACUUCGUG